rnacentral:rRNA from 1 species
GAGUUUGAUCCUGGCUCAGGAUGAACGCUAGCGGCAGGCUUAACACAUGCAAGUCGAGGGGUAACGGGGAAGCUUGCUUCCGCCGACGACCGGCGCACGGGUGCGUAACGCGUAUACAAUCUACCUUAUACUGGGGUAUAGCCUUUAGAAAUGAAGAUUAACCCCCCAUAGUCUCUUAGAGUGGCAUCACUUCUAGAGUAAAGGUUACGGUAUAAGAUGAGUAUGCGUUCUAUUAGUUUGUUGGUGUGGUAACGGCACACCAAGACUACGAUAGAUAGGGGCCCUGAGAGGGGGAUCCCCCACACUGGUACUGAGACACGGACCAGACUCCUACGGGAGGCAGCAGUGAGGAAUAUUGGACAAUGGAGGCAACUCUGAUCCAGCCAUGCCGCGUGCAGGAAGACUGCCCUAUGGGUUGUAAACUGCUUUUAUACAGGAAGAAACACCUCUACGUGUAGAGGCUUGACGGUACUGUAAGAAUAAGGAUCGGCUAACUCCGUGCCAGCAGCCGCGGUAAUACGGAGGAUCCAAGCGUUAUCCGGAAUCAUUGGGUUUAAAGGGUCCGUAGGUGGAUAAUUAAGUCAGAGGUGAAAUCUUGCAGCUCAACUGUAAAAUUGCCUUUGAAACUGGUUAUCUUGAGUUAUUAUGAAGUAGUUAGAAUAUGUAGUGUAGCGGUGAAAUGCAUAGAUAUUACAUAGAAUACCAAUGCCAAAGGCAGAUUACUAAUAAUCAACUGACACUGAUGGACGAAAGCGUGGGUAGCGAACAGGAUUAGAUACCCUGGUAGUCCACGCCGUAAACGAUGGUUACUAGCUGUUUGGACUUCGGUCUGAGUGGCUAAGCGAAAGUGAUAAGUAACCCACCUGGGGAGUACGUUCGCAAGAAUGAAACUCAAAGGAAUUGACGGGGGCCCGCACAAGCGGUGGAGCAUGUGGUUUAAUUCGAUGAUACGCGAGGAACCUUACCAGGGCUUAAAUGUAAGUUGCAUUAGUUAGAGAUAGCUAUUUCUUCGGACCACUUACAAGGUGCUGCAUGGUUGUCGUCAGCUCGUGCCGUGUGGUGUCAGGUUAAGUCCUAUAACGAGCGCAACCCCUGUUGUUAGUUGCCAGCGAGUCAUGUCGGGAACUCUAGCAAGACUGCCAGUGCAAACUGUGAGGAAGGUGGGGAUGACGUCAAAUCAUCACGGCCCUUACGUCCUGGGCUACACACGUGCUACAAUGGUAGGUACAGAGAGCAGCCACUGCGCGAGCAGGAGCGAAUCUAUAAAACCUAUCACAGUUCGGAUCGGAGUCUGCAACUCGACUCCGUGAAGCUGGAAUCGCUAGUAAUCGGAUAUCAGCCAUGAUCCGGUGAAUACGUUCCCGGGCCUUGUACACACCGCCCGUCAAGCCAUGGAAGUUGGAAGUGCCUGAAGUCCGUCACCGUAAGGAGCGGCCUAGGGUAAAGUCGAUAACUAGGGCUAAGUCGUAACAAGGUAACC